UACGGAGGGUGCGAGCGUUGUCCGGAAUCACUGGGCGUAAAGGGCGCGUAGGUGGCGCGGGCAGUCAACGGUGAAAGUUCGGGGCUCAACCCUGAAUCGGCCGUCGAUACUCCCGGGCUUCGAGCACUGUAGAGGCAGAUGGAAUUCCGGGUGUAGCGGUGGAAUGCGUAGAGAUCCGGAAGAACACCGGUGGCGAAGGCGGUCUGCUGGGCAGUAGCUGACACUGAGGCGCGACAGCGUGGGGAGCAAACAGG
rnacentral:rRNA from 1 species